ensembl:snRNA U6 U6 spliceosomal RNA
AUAAGCACCCUAUGGUAAUAUACAAACUAAAGUUGGAAUGAUACAGAGAUGGAGAGCAUGUCCUUGACUAGGAUGACAUGCAAAUUCAUUAAUUGUUUUAUGUUCUU